UGAGGAAUAUUGGUCAAUGGGCGCAAGCCUGAACCAGCCAUCCCGCGUGCAGGAAGACGGCGCUAUGCGUUGUAAACUGCUUUUCCAGGGAGAGAAACUUGCGCACGUGUUGCGCAAUUGACGGUACCCUGGGAAUAAGCAUCGGCUAACUCCGUGCCAGCAGCCGCGGUAAUACGGAGGAUGCGAGCGUUAUCCGGAUUCAUUGGGUUUUAAGGGUGCGUAGGCGGACUAUUAAGUCAGUGGUGAAAUCCUGCAGCUUAACUGCAGAACUGCCAUUGAUACUGAUAGCCUUGAGUUUGGUUAAGGUAGGCGGAAUGUGUAAUGUAGCGGUGAAAUGCUUAGAUAUUACACAGAACACCAAUUGCGUAGGCAGCUUACUGAGCCGACACUGACGCUCAAGCACGAAGGCGUGGGGAUCAAACAGG
rnacentral:rRNA from 2 species